rnacentral:rRNA from 1 species
GAUGAACGCUGGCGGCGUGCCUAAUACAUGCAAGUCGAGCGAACGGACGAGAAGCUUGCUUCUCUGAUGUUAGCGGCGGACGGGUGAGUAACACGUGGAUAACCUACCUAUAAGACUGGGAUAACUUCGGGAAACCGUAGCUAAUACCGGAUAAUAUUUUGAACCGCAUGGUUCAAAAGUGAAAGACGGUCUUGCUGUCACUUAUAGAUGGAUCCGCGCUGCAUUAGCUAGUUGGUAAGGUAACGGCUUACCAAGGCAACGAUGCAUAGCCGACCUGAGAGGGUGAUCGGCCACACUGGAACUGAGCCACGGUCAAGACUCCUAAGGGAGGCAGCAGUAGGGAAUCUUCCGCAAUGGGCGAAAGCCUGACGGAGCAACGCCGCGUGAGUGAUGAAGGUCUUCGGAUCGUAAAACUCUGUUAUUAGGGAAGAACAUAUGUGUAAGUAACUGUGCACAUCUUGACGGUACCUAAUCAGAAAGCCACGGCUAACUACGUG